CCAUACAUGAUCAUACAUUUUCAUAAAAACUUUAAACUUUCACAUAUACCAAGCUUGACCUGCAUGCAUUAUACUGUAAACAUAAAACCCCUUACUGGAGCCCUCAUUAAAUGCUCCAGUUGGGUCAACAUCUCAUACAUCAAGCUUAGUUCAACAUACCAUAACAUUAAAACAUUUAAAUCAAGAUCAUAUACAACAGGGAUUAACCAUAAAUAUUAGGGACAAGCACAAUACUAAUCACCAUUACAAUACUUUACAUUAUCUCAUUUUACAUUUCAUUACAUUACAUGUCAUUUCAUCAUGUCCACUACUAUUCUAUUACAUAGACACCUCUUUUACUCUUGACGACCUCCCGGUCUAUCCUGAACCUGCAAACCUGGGGGUUAGGGGAAAGGGGUGAGCUACUAGAGCCCAGUGAGCAGAACAGUAAAAACAAUUUAUAAAGAUAUGCCA
rnacentral:lncRNA from 1 species